rfam:Vavraia culicis subsp. floridensis unplaced genomic scaffold supercont1.101, whole genome shotgun sequence.
AUUCAGGUUGAUUCUGCCUGACGUGGAUGCUAGUCUCAUAGGUUAAGCCAUGCAUGUGCAAGCGAAGCCGGUGGUGGAGCGGCGCAAGGCUCAGUAACGGGCGACUGAUUUGAUCUCCCGGUGUGGACAACCUCUGUAACCGGAGGCCAAAACACAGGAGGCGCGUGACACGGGCACGGGCGUGCAACCGGCAGGUGCGGGAGAGUAAGGAGCCAUCCCAUCAGUUAGUAAGUAGGGUAAGGGCCUACUUAGACGAAGACGGGUACGGGGAAUUAGAGUUCGAUUCCGGAGAGGGAGCCUGAGAGACGGCUACCAGGUCCAAGGACAGCAGCAGGCGCGGAAAUUACCGAAGCCCGCGUUCGGGGCGGUAGUAAGGAGACGUGAAUACGAUGUGCAGGUAAAAUAUGCACUGGUAACAGGAGGUCAAGACUGGUGCCAGCAUCCGCGGUAAUACCAGCUCCUGGAGUGUCUAUGAUGAUUGUUGCAGUUAAAGAGUUCGUAGUCGGGCUGCAUGACCGGCGCUGAAGGCUCCCUAUCGAGGGGGGCAGGGCGCCGGAAAAGCAGAGGAUGAGGAGCGGCCGGGGGCCAGGUUAUUAAGCGACGAGAGGUGAAAUUUGAUGACUCGCUUAGGAGCAGCAGAGGCGAAAGCGCUGGCCAGGGGCGAAUCCGAUGAUAAAGGACGUAGGCUAGAGGAUCGAAGACGAUUAGAGACCGUUGUAGUUCUAGCAGUAAACGAUGCCGAUGCCGUGGGGCGGUGCAGCCGCCACGCGGAGGAGAAAUUGAGUAGGGCCCUGGGGAGAGUACACGCGCAAGCGAGAAAUUUAAAGGAAAUUGACGGAAGAACACCACAAGGAGUGGAGUGUGCGGCUUAAUUUGACUCAACGCGGGACAGCUUACCAGGCCCGACGGUCGCACGAGUGUGGUACACGAUAGGCCGGAGAGUGGUGCAUGGCCGUUAACGACAAGUGGGGUGACCUUUGGGUUAAGUCCGGGAAGUAGUGAGACCCCUGCCGGCGCGCCGGGACAGGUGCUCAAAGCACAGGAAGGAAGGGUCAAGAACAGGUCAGUGAUGCCCUUAGAUGGUCUGGGCUGCACGCGCACUACAGUGGUCGCAGAAAUCAGUGCCCGAGCGGCAAUGGCGAUCGAGAGGGAACGAGCUCUGGAAGGGGCUCGGGAACGAGGAAUUGCUAGUAAUCGUGGGCUCAUUAAGACACGGUGAAUACGUCCCUGUUCUUUGUACACACCGCCCGUCGUUAUCGAAGAUGGAGUCAGGCGCGAACAAGCGAGAGCGAGUGAGUGCAGGGUUCUAGAUGUGAUACAAGUCGUAACAAGGUAGCUGUAGGAGAACCUGCAGCUGGAUCACGC